rnacentral:rRNA from 1 species
AUUGAACGCUGGCGGCAGGCCUAACACAUGCAAGUCGAGCGCGCGGCGGACGGGUGUGUAAUGUCUGGGAAACUGCCUGAGGGAGGGGGAUAACUCCUGGAAACGGUGUCUAAUACCGCAUACCCUCUGAUGUGCCCAGAUGGUAUUAGCUGGUAGGUGGGGUAACGGCUCACCUAGGCGACGAUCCCUAGCUGGUCUGAGAGGAUGACCAGCCACACGGGAACUGAGACACGGUCCAGACUCCUACGGGAGGCAGCAGUGGGGAAUAUUGCACAAUGGGCGCAAGCCUGAUGCAGCCAUGCCGCGUGUGUGAAGAAGGCCUUCGGGUUGUAAAGCACUUUCAGCGGGGAGGCGUUACCCGCAGAAGAAGCACCGGCUAACUCCGUGCCAGCAGCCGCGGUAAUUC